UCUAGUUUCAUCGGAUUAAUCAUUCUUAUAGCUCUCAUCAAUACAACUGCGGCUGAACUCCAAUUCAGGUCACUUGCAACUUAGAAGCAGCCAUUAUAUCAAAACUUAGAAGCAGCCACUAGUGUCCGGGAAACUGAAACUAGACUUGAUGGCAUGCCAGCCAUGCCAGUUGUUUAUGAUGGCAGACAAGACUAACUGAAACUAGACUUGUUUUUAUUACUCUAUUUCCUGUCAACAUAUAUAUCUGUUCGAUGGAAAAUGUUGCAAGAAACCAGAUAUUGUUAAGCCCGAGGAAAUAAAUUAGCUUUCGUCAA